ACGGGGGGUGCGAGCGUUGUUCGGAAUUAUUGGGCGUAAAGAGCGUGUAGGCGGCUGAAUAAGUCAGAUGUGAAAUCCCUGGGCUUAACCCAGGACGUGCAUUUGAAACUAUUCGGCUAGAGUAGGGGAGAGGAAAGUGGAAUUCCUGGUGUAGAGGUGGACGUCGUAGAUAUCGGGAAGGACACCGGUGGGGGAGGCGACUUACUGGGCCUAUACAGACGCUGAGACGCGGGAGCGUGUGUAUCAAACAG
rnacentral:rRNA from 1 species